UGGGGAAUCUUGCACAAUGGGGGAAACCCUGAUGCAGCGAUGCCGCGUGAGUGAAGAAGGCCCUUGGGUUGUAAAGCUCUUUCGUCGGGGAAGAAAAUGACUGUACCCGAAUAAGAAGCUCCGGCCAACUACGUGCCAGCAGCCGCGGUAACACGUAGGGAGCAAGCGUUGUCCGGAAUUACUGGGCUUAAAGAGCUCGUAGGUGGUUAAAGAAGUUGGUGGUGAAAUCCCAAGGCUUAACCUUGGAACUGCCAUCAAAACUUUUUAGCUAGAGUAUGAUAGAGGAAAGUGGAAUUUCUAGUGUAGAGGUGAAAUUCGUAGAUAUUAGAAAGAACAUCAAAAGCGAAGGCAACUUUCUGGAUCAUUACUGACACUGAGGAGCGAAAGCAUGGGUAGCGAAGAGG
rnacentral:rRNA from 1 species